rnacentral:rRNA from 1 species
AUUGAACGCUGGCGGCAGGCCUAAUACAUGCAAGUCGAACGGUAACAUAAAAGAAGCUUGCUUCUUUUGAUGACGAGUGGCGGACGGGUGAGUAAUAUUUGGGAAACUACCUGAUAGAGGGGGACAACAGUUGGAAACGACUGCUAAUACCGCAUAAAGCCUGAGGGUGAAAGCAGCAAUGCGCUAUCAGAUGCGCCCAAACGGGAUUAGCUAGUAGGUGAGGUAAAGGCUCACCUAGGCGACGAUCUCUAGCUGGUCUGAGAGGAUGAACGGCCACAUUGGGACUGAGACACGGCCCAGACUCCUACGGGAGGCAGCAGUGGGGAAUAUUGCACAAUGGGCGAAAGCCUGAUGCAGCAACGCCGCGUGAGGGAAGACGGUUUUCGGAUUGUAAACCUCUGUUUUCGGUGACGAACAAAUGACGGUAACCGAGUAGGAAGCCACGGCUAACUACGUG